UACGGAGGGUGCGAGCGUUGUCCGGAAUCACUGGGCGUAAAGGGCGCGUAGGCGGCUUCUCAAGCGUGUGGUGAAAGUCCGGGGCUCAACCCCGGAUCGGCCGUGCGGACUGGGGAGCUCGAGUUCUGUAGAGGCGGGUGGAAUUCCGGGUGUAGCGGUGGAAUGCGUAGAUAUCAGGAGGAACACCGGUGGCGAAGGCGGGUCUCUGGGCAGUAACUGACGCUGAGGAGCGAAAGCGUGGGGAGCGAACAGG
rnacentral:rRNA from 1 species